UUCUUAGCAGUUGCUCCUUUCACUAAACAGUCUUCAUCUUUAUCUUGGUCAGGAGUUUAGGGGAGGAAAUGUCUCUACUCCUCCAUUCUGAUUACACAGCUGUAAAAUGCUAAAGUCUAUAGUCAAGUUUGAAAAUGAGAAGACCCUAGAUAGCUACAUGUUUAAGAGAAAACAACAAUUGCAGCUCAAAAACAUGCUCUGGGAGAUCAUUAGCACACAAAAGGAAAGUUCAGUAAAACAAACCCAUCUCUACUGGCUCAGGGCCAAUCUGAGACUGGAAUGAACUUACUCAGAAUGAAGGACCACCACAAACCUCACCACCUUUCACUCCCAAAGCAAGGCACAUUUCUGAGGCAAAUCCCUGAGGGAAGCUGCCUGGAACCCUGGGCAGGGGAGGCAAGAGGACAAAACCGUCUGGGAGGAAGUAGCACAAGAGAAGUUGAGACGGGACUGUGAGACAGAGGACUUAGUCUGAGGUGGGCAGAAGAACUACUGGUUUAGGUUUAUUUGAAUGUAUGGUGUGACCUUUUGUUAACCCAGAAGGGGAUUAAACUGGAGGGCCAGUCUAUGAAGGACUUAAAGAGAUGCAGGCCAUUGUGGGGACAAAAAAGUGACUACUAGAGGUGAAGUCCAUUGCAACAAUUUCCCCAGGCAUGAGGGGCAACAUAGCAGUGAUGAUCCACAAUAACAGAAUCUUCUAUCAUGAGUAGAGCUGAUUUUUAAAAAAAUUGAAAUGCUAUAUAUGUACCCCCUAAAAAUUUCAACCUAAAUUAAUUUUUUCAUGGAAACCUUUAAUUUUGGUAGCCUUUUUAAACAAAAAAAAAUGUACAAGCAUCAAGGUUCUUUUGUUUUGAUUUUUUUUCUUUUUUUCCUCUUCCAUUGCUUUCCCUCUAAAUGGAAAAAAGUGUGCAUUAGAGAGGGAGGUAAGGAAGAGAUGGGGCAAAAGAAAAACAUUUUUUUUAAAUACAAAACACUCUUCAGCUUUGAUUUUGUCAAAAAACUGAAAUUUAGUUACAUUUUGCAUUAAAUGGUUUUUGUUGUUGUUUUAAACUUUUCAUGGAACAUCUUAUUUCACUGUAUUUCUGAGUAUGCAGAAACAAUAUUUGAGAGUAAUAAAAGAGUAUGAUAAUGCACCCUAUAAAUACACUUGUAGUAGCUAUAGUCACACUGAGAUUUACCCAAGCACAGCACAGACAUAUAAUUCUAGUGAAACCAUUCUUUCUUUACAUCAAAAUAUUGUACAUCAAAAAGUGUUUAGCAGAGCUGAAUGAGCUCUCUAAUUCAACACAAAAAAAGUUAAUGAAAAUUUUAGUGCAAAUGUUCUACCAAAUUUGGUCAAAUGUUAG